GGUCGCAUAGCUCAGUUGGUUAGAGCACCGUACUAAUAAUGCGGGGGUCGAGAGUUCGAGCCUCUUUGUGACCA